ACUGACCUUUACUGAGAACUGGUCGACGCGAUCGCCAGUGGCAUCAACACGUUUCAAACGAACUGCUCGCUGAAAGUCACGAACACGUGCACGGAAUAUCGCCGGAUUCCGUUACAGUGAUUCCCGUAAACGAUUCGAAAGGUGCUAUUGCUUCUGCCUUUUCAGAUAUUGGAAUUCACAGACUUCAAGUAUGCCAGGAUUGGUCUAUGCUUACUUGUUGACGCAAUGAGCGGCUGUUAGGACAGCUUUAUUGGUGAUCAGCGAUCCACCGCAUUGGAACAGGUACUUGCCAUCCGACUGCACCGUUAGGAGGGCAACCAUCCAUGGAAACUCCGCGAACUUGUUCGUCCGCGGGGUGAAAGUUAAACCAUACGAGUCGGUUGAACUUAAUUUAUUCUACACUCUUGAGGAGGUCACAGCGAGUCUCAAGAGUCGCCAACCCUAAAGGCAGAGAACUAUAAAAAGAAACGUUAGCAGAAAGAUGCAUCAGCACUGGUGACCCCAACCCUUGUGUAACAAUGAUUUUCGAUGGGAGCUAUAAAUUUCCUAAUGGGGCACGGCACAUUUUUCCAAGGGCACGAGUCAAGGGGGAAUAUUUUCAAGAAUACUUCACAGGAUAUUUUUACCAAAUCCAUGAAUUCUAAAUGACUUUCAC